CCACUCCCUUCCAGUCACGCAAAUUUCACCUCAUUGUCCGUUUCUCCGAUAAAAUUAGUAGUAGGCAAGAACCAAGGCGACGAUGCCAAACACAGGUUUCUUAGCUCGCUUGUUCGCUCUCUCAGUCACGCGAUCGGAUUCCACAAUCCGAGCCAAUGCCAAGUCCCUCCAUAUUAUUCGCUACUGGCUAUUCUCAUCCUGCCCAUCUCUCUGAUGUUAAUUACGAUCAUUUCCGUCAUUCGCUCAAUUUUCUCGCCGUCGUUUUCGUCUCCGAAGGUACCCAGUCCAAGCUGGUGAUGCCAUUUGGAUGGCCCCAUUUGUGCCUCUAUGGUAUGCAGCACUUGGUAAAACCCAGCAUGGUGUUUGCUGUACUAAGAUGUAAAAUAGGAAUCCAUUGCAACGAUAUGCAGCAUAAGAUUUGCCCUUGGACUCAUUGACAUUUUCUCGGAAGAAAAGACUUUACAGUGAUAGGUGACCGUCAUCCUCGAGUAAUCUGUGCACUCAUGGUUCACAUCAAUAAUGUACUCCUGCUGUCUAAUUGAACAAGCGAGACAAUCACACAAAGGGCGGAGGGAAGGUACGACAAGGGGUACGUGCCGUACCGGCGACCGGAAAAUGCUUUGAAAAAUGCUUUGAAGGGGAUGAAGGUGCCGCAGCGGCGCAGCCGGUGCCCUACCAAAAGGGAAGCUCCCGGCUCCGCCAGAGCUUCUCUCAUCCCAUCCUUUGGCAUUAGAAGAGCAUUUUCUUUCUUGUUCAGCCUUCUGAUUUUUCGGAUACGAGGGCACACCUGCAAUGACCAGGGUUCAGUAUGAUUUGGUUCGCUUGCUGUUUGAUUCAUUUCAGUCAUUCUAUUUUAUUUAAUUUAGUCCAAUUUAACUAAAUUUAAGAGUUAAUUUGUUCAACAUCUUUUUCAAAA